GUGCCAGCAGUCGCGGUUAAACGUAGGAGGCAAGCAUUAAUCAUAAUUGGCCUAAAGGAUACGUAGAUGAAUUAAUAAUUUAGAAUUUAUAUAAUAAGAUAUAUCAACUGUAAUAGGAAGGAUAAUAUCUAAUAAUAAUUACAGGAGUGUCUAUAGUGAAAACAUAUAUCUAAUAUAAAUUGACAUUGAGGUAUGAAAGCUAAAGUAUCGAAAUGGACUAGUAACCCAAGUAGUUUUAGCUGUAAACGAUGAAUGUAAUAUUUUAAUUUAAUAAUGAAUUAGAAUAUAUAUGAAGAUGUUAACAUUCCGCCAGAUGAGUAUAUACGCAAGUAUGAAAUUCAAGACAUUAGACGGUUAUAAACACAAGCAGUGGAGUAUGUUAUUUAAU
rnacentral:rRNA from 1 species